rnacentral:rRNA from 1 species
GACGAACGCUGGCGGCGUGCCUAAUACAUGCAAGUAGAACGCUGAAGGAGGAGCUUGCUUCUCCGGAUGAGUUGCGAACGGGUGAGUAACGCGUAGGUAACCUGCCUGGUAGCGGGGGAUAACUAUUGGAAACGAUAGCUAAUACCGCAUAACAGUAGAUGUUGCAUGACAUUUGCUUAAAAGGUGCAAUUGCAUCACUACCAGAUGGACCUGCGUUGUAUUAGCUAGUUGGUGAGGUAACGGCUCACCAAGGCGACGAUACAUAGCCGACCUGAGAGGGUGAUCGGCCACACUGGGACUGGGACAAGGCCCAGACUCCUACGGGAGGCAGCAGUAGGGAAUCUUCGGCAAUGGACGGAAGUCUGACCGAGCAACGCCGCGUGGGUGAAGAAGGUUUUCGGAUCGUAAAGCUCUGUUGUAAGGGAAGAACGAGUGUGGGAGUGGAAAGUUCACACUGUGACGGUAUCUUACCAGAAAGGGACGGCUAACUACGUG